AUUGAACGCUGGCGGCAUGCUUUACACAUGCAAGUCGAACGGUAACAGGCCGCAAGGUGCUGACGAGUGGCGAACGGGGGAGUAACGCAGCGGAACGUGCCCAGUCGGGGGGGAUAACGCAGCGAAAGCUGUGCGAAUACCGCAUACGAUCUGUGGAUGAAAGCGGGGGACCGUAAGGGCCCGCGCGAUGGGAGCGGCCGAUGUCCGAUUAGGUAGUUGGUGGGGUAAAGGCUCACCAAGCCGACGAUCUGUAGCUGGUCUGAGAGGACGACCAGCCACACUGGGACUGAGACACGGCCCAGACUCCUACGGGAGGCAGCAGUGGGGAAUUUUGGACAAUGGGCGCAAGCCUGAUCCAGCAAUGCCGCGUGCAGGAAGAAGGCCUUCGGGUUGUAAACUGCUUUUGUACGGAGCGAAAAGGCUCCCUCUAAUGCAGGGGGCUCAUGACGGUACCGUAAGAAUAAGCACCGGCUAACUACGUGCCAGCCGCCGCCGUAA
rnacentral:rRNA from 1 species